GCCGCUCUUUGCAUUCGAUCACGAUCACCAUGAAGCCAGUGACUGCACAAGUGGCGAUUGCAGUGGUGUAGCCAGGAAAUUUUCCAGUAGGGGCGCGCGCCCACAGGAAAAAAAAUCGAACAUCACCCACGCCGUUCGCUGAUCGCUAAAACAACAUCCCGGUCCGGGAGGCGAACGGUGAAUGGAUAACAUCGCGCACAUAGAAUAGCGCAAGCACAUUCGCGCAAGAGCGAAAGAUAAAAACGGCAUGAAAAUGAAGAAUCGAAAAAGCUUGAAUUUUUUCAACCGGGGCGCAGGGAGCCCUAACCGGGGCGCCGCUUAUGAUGCCGCUUUUAAGCUAAAGGCAGUCGAUGUUGAUGACAUUGUGUUGCGUCACCCUUUUCUUUAUUUCGUGGUCCCGUCUACUCUGGAGCUAUAUGUGUCGCUUGCUAGUUUAAUGUAAUUUAGCGCUUCGUGCAUGAAUAAAAUUAGCAUGAAUAGACCCUCAUCACACUCAAAUAAAUGCAUAAAAGCGACGACGAAAGAGACGGAGAAAGUGUGAGGCGAAGGAUAUCUAACGCUAUUCCAAUCGGACGCUGAGGAGGAAGACUUAGAUGGUUUCAGUGCACAGGAGGAAGAUGCAGACGGGCUAUUUUGGGAAAGGCGUCCUGUCCAGAGCCAGACCGGACCACGGCGUCUCCGACCGGUGGCAGCAACAUGAGGGCUUCCUACUUCCGGUGGUCACGCAGGCCAGGUACGAGGAGCUGCUCGGGCGGGCCGAGUUCUCGCUCCUGGCUCAGGGCUUGGCUCAAGUGGUCGUCAAUCAAACGCUGCUAUGGCUGCGUCAGCCCAUCCAAGCGGACGUGCUGAGGCGGGAGGCGGAGGACGGGGAGGCGCCCCGAUCGGACACGCUGGCCAACCUCCGUUCCGAAACGGGUGGGAGCAUGUUGCGUGAGCUUGGCCUUGCCUCGAGCCCAGACCUCAGACCUGACCGGGGAGCUAACUCUGAGCCAGAUGAUGCUCCUUUAGUUCCGGGGCCCGGUUUUGUUAUCAUUGAUGCCGGGCACGUUGCCGCGCAGCUCAGACGAAAUCCGUUACGGAUGACAGAAUUCCUGGAACUCGGCCCGGAGGAGGCUUUUUUCCUGGUCUACGGCCUGGGCUGCCUGUCUGUCCACGAGCAGCAGCAGAUGGCGGAGAUGCCUGACAAGGCGCCCCCCCAGAUGGAGCUGGAUGAAUUGGUGGCUUUAAUUCUUAUCGCAGAGUACUGUUGUUUUGACGGUCUACCCCUGGCAUCUGCAACAUAUUCUUGGGGCGCCGCUGUCAAUCACCAAGCUGUGGAGGCACUUGGUGGCUUUGCGCCCAGACUUUGUCAGCUCCUACGCGGCCUACCAUCACUUUCGCAGCAGGGGCUGGGUCCCCAAAGGAGGAAGCGGCGCCAAGUACGGCGUGGACAUGCUCUUGUACAGGAAAGGUCCUUCCUUCUACCAUGCCAGCUAUUCGGUGAUGGUGGAAAAAGUGGACGAACGUUUUCAGGGUUCAGCGCUGCGUGCCUAUUCCUGGCGUUCUCUGGCGACUUUGAGCAGGAUCACCGCAAAUGUCUCCAAGGAGCUGCUACUGUGUUAUGUGAUCCAUCCAGCUGACCUGUCAGAAUCUGAGCUGGACUCGCCCGCCUGUCUGAGCAAGCUGAAGGUUCAGAACAUCAUGGUCACCAGGUGGGUUUCCUCCAAAGAACGUGCUGAGCAAGAAGACGUCUGAUUGGCUGGCAGCAGAGGGGGUGGGUUUUCUCCAAAGAAUUUGCUGAGCAAGAUUUCUGAUUGGCUGACAGCAGAGGGGGCGAGGUCCGGAAAGUAGCACAACCUGGACAUGAAGUUAGGAUAGUCAUACGGUGCAUUUUAGUAAGCAGACGCCACCACAUUUGAGGAAAAUGUCACAUUGUGCGUUCCAGGUCUGAAUGUUGCUUUCUUCGUGCUGUGCAGUUGCUUUAUUUUGUACAGUAAAUAAAUCAUGUUGUGAGAUUAUUGGUCAAACUGAAAAGCUGUAAAUUUAUUCCCCAAGAUCAAUGUCUUACUUUCUUGAACCGAUCGUGAAAAUUUAGACACUCCUUCACCUCAAAAGAAGAAAACAAAGUGCAAAGAACAAAUGCAUACUUUUCUUAAAGAAAUGUUGUGUCGUUUGAUUCGACCUCUUCCAAACAAGACUUGAGCAUCCUCUUAUCGAUGACUCCCUUUGCACAUAACACACAUUAUUCAUUUGGUUUGCUUUGCGUCUGUAAGGCAACAAAGACCGUAGUAAUGGACUGCAAUCUGCUCAUCGUUUGUAUUGUCUAGUGGUGGCUCCUUUUGGCUAUUCUUUCCCCUCAGGGGUUGCCACAGCGAACCAUCCAUUUUUUCCAGAUGGUUUGCAUAAGAAGUUUUUGGCACAGUUUUUACGCCGCAUGACCUUCCUGACGCAACCCUCUGCAUUUACCCGGGCUUGGGACCGGUGUUACGGUUCAAUUUGCUCCCGUGAUAUUCUCAAUAAAAACGUGGAACGAAA